rnacentral:rRNA from 1 species
GAUGAACGCUGGCGGCGUGCCUAAUACAUGCAAGUCGAGCGAACGGACGAGAAGCUUGCUUUUCUGAUGUUAGCGGCGGACGGGUGAGUAACACGUGGAUAACCUACCUAUAAGACUGGGAUAACUUCGGGAAACCGGAGCUAAUACCGGAUAAUAUGUUGAACCGCAUGGUUCAAAAGUGAAAGAUGGUCUUGCUGUCACUUAUAGAUGGAUCCGCGCUGCAUUAGCUAGUUGGUAAGGUAACGGCUUACCAAGGCAACGAUGCAUAGCCGACCUGAGAGGGUGAUCGGCCACACUGGAACUGAGACACGGUCCAGACUCCUACGGGAGGCAGCAGUGGGGAAUCUUCCGCAAUGGGCGCAAGCCUGACGGAGCAACGCCGCGUGAGUGAUGAAGGUCUUCGGAUCGUAAAACUCUUUUAUUAGGGAAGAACAUAUGUGUAAGUAACUGUGCACAUCUUGACGGUACCUAAUCAGAAAGCCACGGCUAACUACGUG